rnacentral:rRNA from 1 species
CAGCCGUAAACGAUGUGCGUUAGGUGUAUCGACGACCACGAGUUGUCGAGGUGCCGAAGGGAAACCGUGAAACGUACCGCCUGGGAAGUACGGUCGCAAGGCUGAAACUUAAAGGAAUUGGCGGGGGAGCACCACAACAGGUGGAGCCUGCGGUUUAAUUGGAUUCAACGCCGGACAUCUCACCGGAUAAGACAGCGGAAUGAUUGCCGGGCUGAAGACCCUGCAUGACCAGCUGAGAGGUGGUGCAUGGCGUAGUCGUGU